UCAUUGAUCUGCGGCCUCUGCUGCCCUCGUAAGCCAGUAUCGGUGGAGACGGACUGUCUGCUCUGGGACCACCAAUACUAGCACCCAAUUCCGGCAUAGCUGUGUACGUCCAGACCUGAAGAACUUGUAUAAACCCAUCCACGGUGUAACAGCCAGCAAUUUCUUUGUUCCACAAAGAGUCCAUCAGCACCUUAAAUGCGACUCUCCCCCAUGGAUAAUUCUCAAACCGUUCUAAAUCC
rnacentral:lncRNA from 1 species